CUGGUUCUCUAGGGAGCAUUGUGCACACCUAUCAUCUUUAUAUCUCCCCCUGUGCACCUUUUGUAGACCCCCCGGGGUCUAUGUUGCUUCAUUUACCCCAAUGUAUGUUAAUAGAAUGUAUGUGCCUAUGAAAUCUAUACAACUUUCAGCAACGGAUCUCUUGGCUCUCGCAUCGAUGAAGAACGCAGCGAAAUGCGAUAAGUAAUGUGAAUUGCAGAAUUCAGUGAAUCAUCGAAUCUUUGAACGCACCUUGCGCUCCUUGGUAUUCCGAGGAGCAUGCCUGUUUGAGUGUCAUUAAAUAUAUCAACCCCUCUUGUUGAGUGGCUUGGAUGUGGGGGUUUUGCUGGCCUCUCAAAAAGGUUCAGCUCUCCUGAAAUGCAUUAGCAGAACAACCUGUUCGUUCAUUGGUGUGAUAACUAUCUACGCUAUUGAAUGUGGGGCAGUUCAGCUUCUUAACAGUCCUUGGACAAUUUAUCAUUUUAUGUGACCUCAAAUCAGGUAGGACUACCCGCUGAACUUAAGCAUAUCAAUAA
rnacentral:rRNA from 1 species